rnacentral:rRNA from 1 species
GAUGAACGCUGGCGGCGUGCCUAAUACAUGCCAGUCGAGCGAACAGACGAGGAGCUUGCUCCUCUGACGUUAGCGGCGGACGGGUGAGUAACACGUGGAUAACCUACCUAUAAGACUGGGAUAACUUCGGGAAACCGGAGCUAAUACCGGAUAAUAUAUUGAACCGCAUGGUUCAAUAGUGAAAGACGGUUUUGCUGUCACUUAUAGAUGGAUCCGCGCCGCAUUAGCUAGUCGGUAAGGUAACGGCUUACCAAGGCAUCGAUGCGUAGCCGACCUGAGAGGGUGAUCGGCCACACUGGAACUGAGACACGGUCCAGACUCCUACGGGAGGCAGCAGUAGGGAAUCUUCCGCAAUGGGCGAAAGCCUGACGGAGCAACGCCGCGUGAGUGAUGAAGGUCUUCGGAUCGUAAAACUCUGUUAUUAGGGAAGAACAAAUGUGUAAGUAACUAUGCACGUCUUGACGGUACCUAAUCAGAAAGCCACGGCUAACUACGUG